UGGGCGGGACGGGUGAGUAACACGUGGGUAACCUACCCAUCGGAGGGGGAUAACACUUGGAAACAGGUGCUAAUACCGCAUAACGUCGCAAGACCAAAGAGGGGACCUUCGGGCCUCUUGCCAUCGGAUGUGCCCAGAUGGGAUUAGCUAGUAGGUGGGGUAACGGCUCACCUAGGCGACGAUCCCUAGCUGGUCUGAGAGGAUGACCAGCCACACUGGAACUGAGACACGGUCCAG
rnacentral:rRNA from 1 species